rnacentral:sRNA from 1 species
GCGUACGGUGGCUGGCGAGGCUCAGUACGGUGUGUGGAGCUGGAGCACCGUGAGGAAGAAGCGAGGUUCUUUUUAAGAGUUCAGCUGCGAGAUAUCAAACAAAGAAUUACUCUGUACAAAGCCAGAACACAUAUAUCAAAGUAAUCCUGAAGUAUCAGAACAAAAUAAUAGGCUGUAACAGAGGAGGAAAUGAUUUUGAAUAGCCUCUCUCUGUAUUACCAUAAUAAGCUAAUCCUGGCCCCAAUGGUUCGGGUAGGGACUCUUCCAAUGAGGCUGCUGGCCCUGGAUUAUGGAGCGGACAUUGUUUACUGUGAGGAGCUGAUCGACCUCAAGAUGAUUCAGUGCAAGAGAGUUGUCAAUGAGGUGCUCAGCACAGUGGACUUUGUCGCCCCUGAUGAUCGAGUUGUCUUCCGCACCUGUGAAAGAGAGCAGAACAGGGUGGUCUUCCAGAUGGUGAGAGACUCCAUUGCUGCAUGCCCUCCUGAGGCUCACCAUCCCCUGGGAUUUCCCAACUCAUGCCCUGUGCCAGGCCAGUGUUGAAUACCUGGGGUACAUUGUACAACGAUGGCUUCCUGAAGAUUCUGCUUUAAUGUUUUCCAAAGAGCCAGUCAUGAGUAAUUAUACUAUUGGAGACAGUUUAUGGAAAUCAAGCUAUCACAGUCUUAUAUGUCUCUAGUCUCAAAUUUAAUUUACUUACUUGUAGGAAUUAUCUGUUUGGCAUGAUUUCUCUAUUUUUUUAUCCCUAGCAUUGAUUACUCAGAUCAUAGUCUUUGUUUUUAUGUAGUGUGUAUAUAUUUCUCAUAGAAAAAUAUUAGGAUUUUUCAAGAGUAGUU